rnacentral:lncRNA from 1 species
UUAUUUUCAAUUUAGGUCAUCAAUUACAAUUUCUCAUAUGUUUUGUUCAUUUUGGUCCUUAUUUUGUAAAUUUUUAAUGUUUUUCCUUUGGCCAUUUUCUUGAAGUUUUUUUGCUUUUAAUUUCAUCAUUCAAUUAAAGUUUUUUUUUUUCAAUUUAACUUCAUUCCUUUUAUUUUCUUUCUUUUGUUAAAACUAUUUUUCAAUUCAAUUUAAC